ACGGGAGGGGCAAGCGUUAUCCGAAAUAACUGGGCGUAAAGUGUCCGUAGAUUGUAUUGUAAGUUAUUUGUUAAAUAUUAAAGCCUAACUUUAAAAAAGCAUUUAAUACUACUAUACUAGAGUUUUAAACAGAAAAGCAGAAUUUUAUGUUGAGAAGUAAACUAUCGUUGACACAUAAAGGAAUAUCAUUAGUGAAGUCGGCUUUUUAGUAUAAACUGACGUUGAGGGACGAAAGUGUAGGUAUCAAACAGG
rnacentral:rRNA from 1 species